UCGGUUCUGCAAGAAGAAACACACAUCAGCUUGUUUUAAAACACAGGGGUUGUUUUUUUCCCCCCAUAGCUCACAUACAUGCUUUGCCCUUAAUUUUCAGCCAACACCUGCACAGACCGAACAGCAGCAGCAAGGAAGGGUUUGGCACCUAAGAAGCAGCAGGACAAAUAAGUUUUCUACUAAGUGGUCUUGAAAGUAGCUAAAGGUAUCAGUGCACUUCUCAGAAGUGGUCUCCUAAGGCAGGACACCAUCCAGUAAAGGGGGUUUUGAAGAAGGCUUCAUUGGCUGGCACGUUCCCUUGGCAGGGCUACUGAAGAGGAAGUUUUAACCACUCCACUGUGCUGCUGCCAUGGGUUUGCCCCACCAAGACCACCACGAGCAAAACCCAUCGCUUGGACACCCAGCACAACAAUUUGCUGGGUACAGGUGGGUGUACCGAGGUCCCCCUUCCAUGUGAGGGGACAUUUGGCAUCUCUCACUCUGACCUACACCUCACUCAGUAAAGCAGCGUACACUGCUGCAAUGCAGACUCAUUUUAAAACAUUUUCCAAAAAUUUGUACCAUUGUUAUUCUUAAACUCAUGACUGUGCUACACUCCCAUGCAGAAAAGUCAUGCUCCAAAGUAGAACAGCUCACCACAGGGAUUACAAAUACAGCAAUAAUCCUGUUUCAGCAUAUUUUACAAUACACUGGAAGUGUUAUAGCUCCAUGCAAAAUUUAUUAGCCUCUUUAUACUACUCUUUAAGGAGACUAAAGUCAACAGGAAUAAAAAUCAAAUCCAAGUACAGCCAAUUUAUGGAACACUUACCACGUUGAGAGAGAUCUUCAACAAUUAUCUGACUAGGUUCUUGUACCUGUAAUACAAAGUUGGACCAUUACUUCAACAAAUCAGGGUGCUUCACUCACUAUUCUUUUUUACCUAUUUUUACAUCACACACAGCAAAGAGGGGACGGGCAGCAGAUUUCAGAGCAGACCUGAAAGUACUGGAGUAAGGAAAAUUGCAUGGUGAAACAAACACUACUGGCUCCAAGGCAACAUAGAUUUGCUGCUAUCACAAAAGAGUAGCUUCUGUCAGGGAGAUGAAAGAGGCAGAGUUAAUUAAAUGAGGGAUUGAAGGUUUUUCCCCCCCAAACUAUCACUUCCCAUACUUCCUAUUACAUCUUUAAGGCAAAAUUUCCAGUACUGUUUUGCUGAAAGCUCUAGGAAUAGUUAUGAGCUCAACUAAAGGGAUACUGAUAUUAGAGAAAAUACAGUGAUCAUUUCACACACAUACUCUUAUCUUACAAUUUGCUGGAGUUCCACGUGGAACAUUAGAUAAGGCAGUCUGCUGAAAAGCAGAAUUCUGAACAGGUUUUGCUGCCAGUGAGAACUUAUCAAUCCUCCUUAACUAUGCUGCCAUACAGCACUUCCAGCUCCUGCACUGGACAGUGCCUGGCUCAGAAACCACACUAUUUUCCACUAUUUUCUUCUGGUGGAAGAAAAGGAAAUACUUGAAGUUACCAGAUGUUAGAGACAUAAAAGGAGAGCUGAUAAUUUGGCAAAGUAACAGCCUUUACAGAACUGGACUUGUAAGCUCCGAAGUUUCCCUUGCUUGCCUCAAGACCUUUGCAAGGACAGAGACCGAGACCCUGCAGACCCUGCCUGGAGUCCUGGCCUGGCUGAGAGGGAUGCUCACCAAGUGCUUGUCUGCAGGUGUGCUUGCUGUGUCACCAUGGUACACUGCUUAGGCAGGGGCUGGAAGGAGCAGCUCUCUCCUUGUGCUUACAGCUGCUUCACAACACCUGCUCAUCACAACAGCCCAUGGAUUUCCCCACCUCCUGGCCAGGUGCCACCCACUUUAGAAAAGACUGACUUUCUGGGGUAACUUUGGUGAUCCCCCACAGAACAUCCCUCAUUUGCCUCACAACCACCAUCAAGGAUGGAGAUUGAAGCCACCCCAAGGACUGAGACCCUUAAAAUUCUAACACAGGGGUGCUGGGCUGGCUGACGUGGGAUGUCUGCCAAGUGUUGCCUGCAGGUGUGUCUGCUGGACGAAGACUGAUUUCCCAUGGGAACCAGUCCUGAAACAACGGGUCCUACUCACUGCUGGGACUGAAUUGUCCUGUUUGGAACUGGACUGUCUGUACUUGUUCUCAGUGGACUUAUUCACCACUGUCCUAUACCUGUUCCCUCAACAUAAGACUAUAAAAGACCCCUGAGUUAACCAAGGACUUUGAGAUAUCUCCCCAACAUGACAAGACAGAUCUAUUGGCUGGACCACAAGGAUUUAGUCUCUCUGUUGCUUCUACAAAAAGAUGAAGUGCUGAAAAUCUUGCCAGGGCGUGAGGGGAGACACAACCCAACAAAAAACCUGGGGUGUUUCACAUAUUUGAGCCACUUAUGGACCUUAAAAAAGAGCAGAGUUUUGGGUGAGCCUUUUAACAUCUCUUUCAAUUCUGUUUCUUCAGUCUUCAAGUAUUUUUGGCAUUAUUAAGGUGCAUUUAAUUACUCAAUGUCUAAUUAGUAACAUUAGACAAGAGCGCAUACACUGGGUGGGUAAUGCUCUGGUGAGGGACAAGAGAAGCUCCAGGAAGAAAAGAAGUCCUGUACACACACUGAGAACAGUCUGGAUAUUUUUCCUAGUUGCUCAUCAAGACUAACAUUGGUUGUUUAAAACUAAGACUGAGCUCAUUUUUCCCUUUCCAGGGCUGGUAGCGAUGUAGUUUCUAACUAGAGAAGUUAAAGCCAGCUUAUAUUGACUUCAUCCAGCUUUGUAUUUAUCUUGCAGAAUGCUGGACUAGCAAUAGUUUUUUUCAGACUCAAACAGUAAGGUUCUGAAAUGGUGUUUGGCUACAGGAUGCCAGGGUAUACCCAGCUUCAAGUCACAACCUAUGCCAGCCUCAGCUGGAUAAAUCCUUUUAGGGAUGUACUCUGAGACUGGCAUGCUCUGAGCCCUGAACCCCUCCUCUUUUGGGACUGCUUAGGACCAAGAAUUCAGACUGUCAGGUCCUGGUCUGUAGCUUGUGACAUGAGCCCCAAGGCAGGAAGACUCAAUCACUUUACUGGAUCAGGAGUGGUUAAGUCUUACAAACAAUUUGUAGUCACAAUGCAAUGAGAGCUGGAACACAACCAUGCUGCAACACCAAACAAGAGCUGCCAUCAGUUGGCGAAUACGCAUGUGAAGCGGCAAAAAAGAAAUUAAUUGGAUCAUGGUAUCCCCUGGAGACAGUCUGAAGUGAAAACAUGCAGCUAGCUCAAGUUUUUUCCCCACUUCCAAAGCAUCCCGGUCACAGGCUCUGAAGUGUUUUCCAGUAUUAACAAGGCCAACUGCAGCAGACACAUGCAGCUAUUGAAUGCAUCAGACACUUGCUAAUUGAUUUCUGACCUUGUAUAAGUCACAACCUGUUGCAUCACAGGAACACAUCCUAUCAGAGAUCUACAGGGGGACAAACAUGGAGGGCUGUGUGUCAGGUACAAUUAGGCUGUGAGCAAUUAGACUGAGAUAAAACACUUGGUCCAUCACAUACUUACCAGACGUCCCUCUACAUCUUUAACAGUUGAGACAGCUGAAAAACAAAAUAAGUGUCUGAGAAACUUAUAGGAAUUGCAGCAACUUAAGCAUGGCUGAAAUAACACACGACUUACACACAAUAGACACUUUUGUAACACAACCAAAGCUUUUAAAAGCCAUUUAGUUUCUUUAACUUGUCAUACAUUUCAGCCCAGUACUACCCUUCGCUUCACUCAACAGCACACUGUGCCUUAAUCCUGCUCAGUAAAAUGCAGACCACAAGAUGCUGUCUGACUUUUAAGCCACUCUUGCAACCUCCCCUACUCCAGCUUUUUGUAGGCUAUUGCAAUACAGAAGACAAAAAUUGUCUUUACUGCAAUACAGUCAGUAAGACAUGAUUUCAACAAACUUAGCACUUAAGAUUCAUAAUAGCUUUCAGUAUUAUUUAUAGUAGCAAAAAUACUUUAAAACACAAUAGUGGAAAUAGAAGUCUCCAAGGAAAACAGCUUAGUUUCCACUAAAAAAUAAAUCCAGUGUGAAUUUAUCAACCCAACAUUCACAUUAAGAGGUUCAAAUUACUAAAGGGAACCAAUUUGCACCAAAAAAAUCUCUACAACCAAACACAGUGAAAGUAAUUAGUGAUCUAAUUAGUUGCUACAUUUUGCCCCAUGCAUGGGAAUCCCCACACAGGUUUUUCCUCUUGGCCAAUACAAGGCAAGUUGACUGGAGAAGUCCUUUUUAAGGACCUUAAGAUAAUCUUGCUUUGAAGCAGAGGCAUCUGUCAGCAAGAUAAGAAAGCUCAUAGUUAAGAAUUAUGCAUUUUAUUUACCAAGCAAAAAUGCUCUUCACUUGACUAAUUUGCUAAUUUCAAUCACGUGCAAAAUGAACUAGAGCUUAAACAGGUCCCCUUUAAGGCAACACAAGAACCAGGGACACCCCUGGUGCAUGCUUUGCCUAACUUUAGAAAGCAAAUUUCAUGGAUAAUAAUCAAGGAGUUACCUUUAUCACAUUUCAGCUUUUUAACAACAGCAACAACAAUAGCAACACCUACUAGAAAACCGAAACAAAUCAGAAGCACCGGAAGAACCCGAACACGAGCUUCAUUCCCUGCAAAGUCAGAAAAAAAAAUUAGUACUGAAACAGUCCCCCCCAAUAAGAUAUUCCUUGCUGUCCUAGAGAAAAACCUAAGCCUGGAACUAAUACAAUAACCCAGAUAGCUCAUCCUGGGACUCUCACGGACAUGUUGCCCUGAACACGUGGGCACCUGUUUGCACUGCAGAUCAUACUCCCAAAGGCAUCAGGGAACUCUGCAGAGAGCUGCAACACAACUUCCACCAGGUUUUAUGAGAGACACUUAUGGGGAAACAAGUAUGCAAACGAUGAUAGCAAGCUUCGGGUGCUGUAGCAUGGACAGUGUGCAUUCCUGGCAGAAGAGGAAGCUACUGCAGACACAGUAAACACCUUCACACUAUCCAUAACUUUCAACUGUGUCGCCUUUGGAACUUUAAGAACCCUGGCAACACAUGUAACUUUUCACCAAGUGAAACUCAAGGUGGUUUGUCCCAUCAACCCCUUUGAGAACUUGUCUUUAGCAAAUAACUCCCAAACUAAAAUGCAGCUGUUCUUAAAUACAUCACAAUACUUGAAACCACUGUUUUACAGACUACUCUGGUGUUACUAGCCUGAAGCCACAGACCCAACAAACCAAGCUGAGGGGGAUUUAUGUAGCAGACCUUGAUUCGUUAAGCCUAGUUCUGUAGCAUCAGUGGAAUUCAGCAUUAUUUCUUUCCCGUCCGGAUGCCUGAAGUGGACAGUAACAGAACAUUGUAUAAACAUUUCCAGAUCCGUCCAUAGCUCUGUCCAGGCCUGAUUCUUUUUCAGACAGAGCUCAGAACCAUGAAUGGAACAUGCAUAAACUUUGAUAGAGGUGUACCUUUAAACAAUGCAAGAUAUGACUACAAGAUAAAAUAAAAGCAAAGCAGAUAAAAUUAAUGUACGUUAGCUUCUAAGUGGAAGGGGAAAAAGAAAAAAACCCAGAGUAUAUGCAUUAUUCAUGCACAGUUAGUUUCCUUCAACAGGUAGGUCUACAUACUAAAAUUUUAGGCUGUGUGCUAAAAAGUUCAUUCAAGUGUGUUUCUGUGGCAAUACCAACCUGAAGACAUGAAAAAUGUGAGUUUACAGUCAUAAGCAACAAGCACAAUGAUACCCAAGUCCACAUCUUUCUAGGUCUCAACAUCACAGGUUUUGACACCUAAAAUUUAAAUGCAUGAAUAAUGCCAUUUGGCUUCAGGGCAAUUAUUUAGAGCCUGAUGACAUGUGCUAGCUGUUGGCACAGAUUGGGCCACAGCUCUAACAUUCCCUAGAAGGAAAAUAGCAACUUAAACUUACUCUUGACUGAUUCUCUGACACAUUUCACAGCUCUCAUCUUCACAGAAAUACCCUUGUUUGCACUGGCAUUCAGCAUCAUGUGUCAGAUUACAGGGUCUCAGAGUUAUCUGAUCUAAAAAUAAAAUCUAAGUUAGCAAGUGCAAAGAUUAUACUCAGGCCAUAAAGGCAACUUACUUUUAAGUUGAAUAUGCUCAAUGAAGACCACAUUUAAAAAAAGGGGAAAUUGUUAAGGUUUCAUAAGGUUUGGUACCCUCUUUGCACUGUUUGCAAGGCAAGCAUUCCUCCAAGCCGUUCUCAUGGGCAGUAAAGCCUUUUCCUUCCUCGCAAGGGUCACAUCUUCCUUUCACAUGUGAAGCAUUGCAGUGAUCAGCAACAAAGGUACCUGUGAGAAGAAGUGACAGCAGAGCAAUGUCAGGGGAUCUUUUGACAGACACAGGGCUAAACUCAUAUUACAACAGGUUAAACUUGGAUAUUACAACACAGACUGCUGAGAGAAGUUAAAUUCUUCCUUGCAAAUCAAUCGCAUGCCACACAAACCAAGAGGCACAGGAGAGUCAGGAGGCACACGUGCAAUUUGCUGCUCAGACAAGGGAGAGGUGCAAAAUAAUCUUGAGGUUAUUUUGAGGCAUCUAGCAAGGCAUCUGCUGGAAGGAUAAGUCACUGCAGCAGGCAGGGAGCCUGUGGAUGGUACCACUGCUGAAGGAAUGGGGCAAGCCCAGGGAGAACUGCUUCCAAUAAACUUUUUUCUCCUUUGUCUGAACCAUACCUAAAUGCACCAGUAAGCUUCUGAUAAUAACGAGAGGCUUCUUCCUGGUGCAAAACUUGUUAGCUCUGCACACAUUGACCAAGCAGAGGAGAGCAAAACUUACAGACACAGAAGUAUCAGAACUCCCCUAGGGCUGUUCUUUGUGCUAACUAAAUCACUUAGCUUCAGAAACUUUAUCCUCAACCACAAGCAAAGGCUUCCUGGCUUGAUGCCAAAGCACCCCUCCCAGUCAUCACCUGUUGCAUUAAGGGGCUCUCACUUCAAAAUGGAGCCCAGCCUUUACAGCACCAAGGAGUCCUCACAGCUCCAAUCAGGCUUACACUUUCAUAGCAUGCAAUGUAGGAAGCAAUUGCCAUCAGCUGUAACUCCUCAAAGUCUUACCUGCUUCACAAAAUGGACAGCAGAGGCCUUGAUGGGAGUACUCUCCCUCCCCACAGUUCGCUCGGGCUCUAGGCAUCGUCAGGAGAACAACCUACAGCGGAGGCAACCGGCCACUUGAGUGAUUCAUCCCCUGUGCACGAUAACUAUCUUGGGGAGAUUAACUUGUAAAGACUUGGAAACUCAUUCAGAAGUUUAUGGGAAGCCACAGAGGAAACCCCAACUAAUUUCUGCUAAGUGGUGCUCACAGCAGUAAUUGCCAUCACAAAGCUGGGGUUAAGGCAGCACCAUGCAGCGGCUGAUGGGCUUUAGGCAACUAUUGCACCACAUUCCUGUCUCCAUAUAAUCUUCUGGGUUUUUUCCACUAUCUCACAGCAGUUGAGCUGCAGACGCCAAAGUUUCUGCGGUACGCAAGGGAUUAGUUUCUGCCUUCCCCCAUCCUUUUAAUUCAUCAGAAUCACUGCCAGUCUCACUCCCGCAAAAUUCAGGAAACGCCCCACAGACCCAUUCAACAUGCCUCACUGGCUCUAAUUUUAGGCAGAAGACAAGUCGAGUCAUCAGCAACACUACAGGAGCAUUGGGAAUGUUUUGGGGUUUUUUUCUUUUUUUAAAGAGAAAGAAACGUGCAGAGGGCACACUCCCGGGCAGGGCUCCCGCGCAGCCUCCCAGUGCUGGUAGGCAGGAGUGCUUCCAGACACGAGAGCGCGGGGCCGCUGAGUCACAGCUCCUCCCCUAGAGCAAAAGAGGCUGAGGGGGGCGGGGAUGGACCGCCACCGAACACCCGAUCACUAAUGUCUGUCACCAGCGGACAACUUCUAAGCUAAAACCAAGAGGGUCCCGCUCUCUAAACUCUCUCCCCGGUAGACUGAAAAUCUUCCCCGUAACUCUGGGGAGAGAGGAAAGAGUGGACGAGAUGCGGAGACGGCAUUCCUGAGGGCGCUGCAUCGCGGGAGCGGCGCUGCCGCACGCUUCCCGAGACAUCAAACAGGAAAAAAAAAAGUUCGGGAAAGUUACCAAAGUCUCUUGAAUAAGACAAGGACAGAAAAACCCACAAGGCUCCUUCACGCUAGAGCUGGAGGAAGACUUUUUCCGCCUCAAAAGCCAGGAUUUGGGUUCUGGCUGCGGACGGCCGGCAGCCGCUACUCGCGGCGGGCAGGUGGAGGGUGAGCCCGCACCCUGCGGGCCAAGAGCCCCGGCCGGCACGCAGCAGCAGCGGGCCAGAGAGCCCCAGC